CGCUUUCACGUCUAAACCACUGAACUGAUUUUAAUAACAUAUACAAUAAUGGUACAGAGAUAGAGUUGACCUUGAGAAAGAACAUAGAAUCAUUUUAAUCACGGAAUUUUGAAGAAUUCUCUAGAAAAGUGUAUAGACUAUCACUACUGCUACUGAAAUUAUUGGACACGACCGGAGAGAGAUCUCAAGCAAGACCGACAUAUACGUGCUCCCCGAUGCACGGGUGAAUCAAUCUUUUGCUGUGCCCGAUUUUACCUACCAAAUAUUUACCACCUAAGCCUACAUUGUGGAAUACAAUAAAGUAUUGAGUAUUAAUAACCAACUUACAGACUACGAGCUGCUCUGGGAAAGUUGAUAAAACCCACGAAGCAAACCGAACCCGAGGCCUCGAGCACAGCAGUCGUGGUAGCGACCACUACAUAUAAGUACCUUGUUGAGCUCUGGCCCCCUCUUCCUCCGCAGGUAGUUGAAGCAGCAAGCUCGGAAGCGUCUCGUCCCGCAUGCGGGGGCGCACUCCCGCCCGCAAGAGUCGCAACCAGCCCACGCACAACUCACUACAACAAAUAUACAAAGAAAACGUUGCAGAUUACUCGAAAAUGCCUUGCGUCGGUUAAAAGGGCGCCAAGAUGAAGCUUUAAAAGGCAGACAAAUGUUGUUAUUGAUAUUGUCAAUACAAAUAAGUAGGAACAAAUAAAAUGGCUGAAAGCAUUAUCAAGUCGCCUGCUCAAAUAGCUCGGUAAACUUUUAAGAGUACCCGCACGCUACAGACUAAAAAGUCGGCCGACCCAAUGGUUGUCUAUUUUUUUUUAACACGCUUAUAUUAGCUUCUCUUGUAUCUAUGUAUGUAGGAAAAUCUUGGAAUCUUAAUUUGACCCACUUCCCGGUCUCCGAUUAGGGUGAAAUUUUGUAACGCUCGGAUUUGUGAUGAUAAUACAUGAAUAGCUAAAAAACUUCAUUAUAAAUCCAAUAUGGUGGCCUCCCCAAAAUGGCGGACUGAUAUCAAAUGAAAGGGUACUGUUGUCAGGAAUACGAAAAAUGGUAUAAAAUAAAAAUAAUAAUUAAAAAAAAAAAAAAAA